UCAGAGGUUUCAGCCACAGCACUGUGCUCACCUAAAGACAAGGAGAUCAUGGCUUUCUUUGGGUUGGGCUCCACCUUCAUGCUGUCUACGAUGGCUCUGACAGGAUUGAAAGUCUUCUUUGACAUUUCAGAAGCCCUGACAGCCCAUCUUGGCUUCCGGCCCUUCACCUUUCCCAGUGACAUGCUGUUUCCAUUGGUCUUGAGAUGAAUAUCCAACAGGGGGACAUGAUCUCCUUGGCCAUUCACUUGGAUCAGGUACGAGUCCAUCCUGAAAGUUGUUAGUGGUAAAUGGAUUUCCUGAGCUUGGUUAGUACAUGCCAGAUGAAGGCUCUGCCUACCUGGGAGGCACUGCCUAUCAAUCUCCAAAACCAAAACUUCUGAAAGCUGCAGAACUGCCCGCUGUCUAUGUGCAAGUCAGUCACUAGCAGCAAGUGAAGUUGUGCUUAGGAUCAGGAAGGAAUGAAUCUCCACACACAAAUGAGCUCACAAUGGAGCAGGAAAGACAGAGGCAUUUUCCUGUGCUAGUCAUAUUGCUUUUUAGUAUGAGGGCAAUUGCUGUGCCGGAGAGGAGCAGUCCUGCUAAAUCAUAAAUGCAUCAUCUAGUAGUUAGCAGCAUACUGUAGUCAUUGCAUGGCUGCAAAUUCAGUGUUCUGCUGAUAGAAGGGCCAGCUAUUAACUUGCAGACCCCAAGUUGUAACCCAGUUUGUAUGUGUACCACACCCAGAAAGUCCCUCCAGUCUGCAGAUCGAAACGUGAUACUGUUAAAAUUAAGACUUAAAUAACAAAAAAGUAGUUCUGAUACCAUCUUAUCAGGAUACAGUUAACAGUGUUAGGGUGUAGGUUAUGGCAGCACUCCAGUCCAAAACAGACUCCAGACGAAAAGGAAGUGCUUAAAAAUCAAUGAAGAAAUGCUGGUAGGGUCAUGAGGGAAAUCAAGAUGGUGACACCAUCCCAGGCAAAGUGCCUGCAAUCCUGCCUGAGGCUGGGUAACAAGCAAGGCACAGCAGAGGAACAACUACCUUCUAGACCUCCGAAAGUUGGCAGGAAAGUGUUGUAUGUACUUGAGCAUGUAUACCCAAAUUACCACCUAGUCCAAAACAGCAAAAGCUUAAGAGCUGCUGCUAACCUCAGGAGGAGGUUAGGGACAGCACCAACAGAGAUCUCCUUAGCCACCAAGCCUAUUCUCAGUGACAUCAGAAUUGUGCCUUGUAAUCCUUUCAUCAGCUGCCCAUAUUCUGUCUCUGCAGGGCUCUUUUUCUCUGCUCCACUAAAAGACAAUUCACUGUGACCCAUUCCUGAUGGUAGUUAUGUAGCCCCAUCAGCUGUUAGAUGCCAUCUUCACAGAUAUUCCUGUCAUGAUAAACAAGGGAGCUAGCUGAUCCUCCCAACACUGAAAGGGUUGUUGCAUUACCCGGUUCAGGAGGGAUUUGCCACAUAAACAGAUUUCUCACUGAUUCAGUAAGGUUUGCUCAUAGAUAUGCCCCAUGCUGCUGAAGUUACUUUACCAGCAGUGCUUCGUCUUUAAAGCAACUGAGAUAGAUCUAAGGGGUGGUAGUGAUAAAAGAAGACUUAACGUUCCCUACUUAUAAUGCCUCAUGAGUGUCCUUUGUACCAAAAGAAGGGUAACUGAAGAACCACAUUGAUUCUUCUUAACUGCAUAAAAACUGAGAAAAUAAAUGAGCCGCAUGUCUCUGUUCAACAGCAGAGAUGAGUCCCAGUGUACAAUGCACAUCUCAGCAGAGCCUUCAAAACACCUUGCAACAUGCAGAGGGAAGCUGCAUAUGCAGGCAAAAUAGAUGCCUUCAGUGUAGGCAGACAGGGAAACAGUCCCCACACAUCAGCAUCACCAAAGAAGGUACCAGAGGAUUGUACUUUACCUUCUAACAGCAGAGAGGGGGAGUCACCAACAAGCUUAGAGGUCCAGUCCCUGCUUUUCAUCCAAGACAAAUCUCGAGAAGGAAUUCCUGCAAAUUCUUGCCCAUGAAAUAAGUCCCCAGACUGGGCGUUGGGACAGAAUCCUUUAGCCAUUGGCUCACAGAGAGGGCUGCUCUCUCCACCCAAAAACGCCCUCUCCUCUGUAACCGCAUUCACUGCAAAUAACUGGAACAUGCCUGCACAUUAACUCUUUGUGAGUUAGCCUACAGAGUGCCACAGCUUUGCUUCCUGGAAGCCUUGGACCACCACCCAUUUGAAUGACUUCGCUCUGCACUGGAAGGCUUGGUGGUAGGGGAAGAGGAAGAAUCCCAUAGGGCAAAGCCCAUAUUCCAAUCCUAGCAUCUUGUAAUGCACCAAGAAUGGGUUGGUGGACUCUAAAACCAGCAGGUAGUAAUGAUAUGCCCUGCCCCACUUCAAAGGCUCACUGUCUUAAUGCUGAGAAAAGACAUUAUGGCACUGCUACACAGAGGGGAUUUUUUUGCCUAUAGGAUGAUGGGAAGGAAGUACUUCCCUAGCAGGCACCAGGAGCUGAAGGGUUAAAGGGAGCUCCAGUUACCUUUUGUUGUUGUUGUUGUUGCAAUACCCAAGCAAACUCUCAUCAUUUUGGCAGGUAACAGAGAUACUGAAAUUCCCUCCCCCCUGAUAGAGAUGCAAGCACAAAUGAUGCCAUUACCAGAAGGCCCUUUCUUCUUAAGCGAUGUAAAAUCUAUGCUCUCUUGUCCUUUGCCUGUUACAAACUGGGGAUAAAUAAGAAAGUCCAUCCACACACCUCCUGUCUUCCAAGGACUGCUACAAGUCUUCCUCUACUACCUUGACAGCAAAUGGCUGGAGAUCAAAGAGCUGCUUAGAGGCAAGAGGCAUCCUAUUAUCUCCUGGUAAACAGACUGCUGACACCUCCAUUGCAGAGCCUGAAAUGGAUGACCUUCAGAAGCUCAGGUGUGACCUCUCCAAGCACGUGCGGGUAAUGUUCUCACAUCUAGCUGGCCUCAUCUCUUGAUGUGCUGCAGCCCUACCAGGGUUAAAUGUGCUGCUGGGAGGUCUCAAGGACGCUGCUGCAUGUUCUGCCUAGCAACAACACUGAACGUGAUGCAACCAGAGCUCUACCCAUAAUUCUGCACACUGCAGUGGGGUGCAGGGGAGGGCAUGGCUGGGUGGCCUGCUGCCAAGAGGAGAACGUGGCUCUGGAGGCACAGGUAGACUCAGUUACAUAGAGAUGAGAACCUGUCCAGACAUGGGAAGGACACAGUGCAAUGGGGUCAGUGGGUUUAUCCUGCUAUUGCUAUGCCCUUCUCUUCUCCCUGCAUGACUCCAGUCCUUAUCUGGACAGUCCCAUGUCAUACAGCCCUCCCCAUCACCUUCUGCCCACAAAGCCUCCCAGGAACAAAGCAUGAGCACACAGCUCAGCACUUCAAGUUUUCCAAAUACAGUGAUGCCAAUCCACAUAUAAUGUAGCAAAAGAGGUGUCCAUACUCUGUAGUACAUGUUUCUGCAGUAAGGCAGCUGGUGGUACUCUGUACUCCACCAGCCCUCACACACCAUCUAUUUCUCUUCCUUAGCAGUUCCUUCUUAUGGGUUUCUUGUUUUGUCCCUUUUCAGCUCCCUUUUUCUUCUGUAGCAUCAGCAAUGAAGAAGAAACUGAUGAUGCUUUGAUGGUUCCUUGGCGCUGCCUUGCUCUUGUACAACAACUGCUCCAAAGACAGUUUCUGUGAACAGAGGUCAAACCUACAAAACCAAGCAGUUCCCUCUUCCAAGACGAGCCACAGUUAUAAAGGAGGACUGACAAAUGGCUGCUUGAGUGGAGCAUGAAUGCAACCAUUGCUACACUGGCAAAUCUAUGCCUCCAGUUAGGCUGCAGGCAGGACAUGCUCCAAUAGAGUUUUGCACAUAUGCUCUGCACUACCAUUCAGGAUAUGCUGAUCCAGGGACAAACACUCAGCUGCUCUGCACAAAAAUCUAGCAGGAUCAAUUACAGAUGAACAAACGGCUGUGAAGACUCCUUGGCUCCAGUGAAUUUUGUGACUAAUUACUGGCUCCCAGGACAUUUCUAACUGAGCAAACCAGCAAGUAUCCCAGGCUCAUGGAGUCAGCAGCACUGGUGACUACAGGCCCAGCAGCCACAGUGAAGGAUUAACAGGCCCUCCUAGAGCUGCAGCAAAGAAUGCUCCACACUAGUGGCCACCUGAGUGGCUCCUGGGUGCAAGCACCGGGAAGUCAAGUACCUUGCCAAGCCUUGCUUACAUCCAGACAAGUGUUGCCAGGGAUUGUGCUGCAGCUCCCAGAUGCCUCAUGCUGGAGAAGUAUGAAGCAGUCCGUGACUCGUUGUUCCUACUUCACCCUGCAAGGUCUCAGGGAGAGCACUGAACCAGGUCAGAGCUCCUGGCCCAUGGCAGCCGGGCCUGGCCCUUCCCUCCCCAUCACGAGGCAGUAACAUCAGGAGCAGCCAGAAACAGAAGAGGAGAAAAAAAAGAAGAAAAAAAAAAAGCGAAGCCAAAGCAAAGAUACAAGGCAAUGGGUCUGAAGAAAAUUGCGGGAACACCUCCUGUGGAGUGAUGAACCGAAAUCCGACAGCAGCACUUAAGGACACAUCGCAAGUGCUGAAGACAGGCCCCGUAAAAAAAGUGCUUUUGUACGACAGGUGGUGAACUUCAGGACCACGCGGAGUUUCGGCGGAACGUAAAUCCUGGCCCUCGCGUACCGAAGAACAGCGCUCAAGGGAAGGCGGUGCUGCGCGCGGCCCUCGCAGAGGAGCAGGACGACCCCAGGCGGAGGAGCGGAGACGUCCAGCCGCGG